AUGAGUUCAGCCUUAUAAAACAUCAGAAGUAGGGAGCUUUGCUUUAAUACAUCAUGGAUAUGGUGUUUUCUUAGGUUCUACACAAGUAUACCCUGAGAUAAAGACUUAGGCACAAUUUGAGAGUAGAUCCCAGGAAACUCAAGUAAAUGGAGUGGGAAAAGUCUGACAGGAAACAGAGGGAGCCAAUAAAAGGUGUGCUAAUAAGUG
rnacentral:lncRNA from 1 species